rnacentral:tRNA from 1 species
GUGCGGGUUUGCGGGUUCGCGGACAGAGCAGCGGCCUUCUAAGCCGCGGGUCGGGGGUUCGAAUCCCUCCCGGGACGCCA